rnacentral:rRNA from 1 species
UACAGAGGUCUCAAGCGUUGUUCGGAUUCAUUGGGCGUAAAGGGUGCGUAGGCGGCUUGGCAAGUGGAAGGUGAAAUCCCUCGGCUUAACCGAGGAACUGCCCUCCAAACUGCUUUGCUUGAGGCCGGGAGAGGUGAGUGGAAUUCCCAGUGUAGCGGUGAAAUGCGUAGAUAUUGGGAGGAACACCAGUGGCGAAGGCGGCUCACUGGACCGGUUCUGACGCUGAGGCGCGAAAGCGUGGGGAGCAAACGGG